GUGGGGAAUAUUGGACAAUGGGCGAAAGCCUGAUCCAGCCAUGCCGCGUGUGUGAAGAAGGUCUUCGGAUUGUAAAGCACUUUAAGUUGGGAGGAAGGGCAGUAAGUUAAUACCUUGCUGUUUUGACGUUACCGACAGAAUAAGCACCGGCUAACUUCGUGCCAGCAGCCGCGGUAAUACGAAGGGUGCAAGCGUUAAUCGGAAUUACUGGGCGUAAAGCGCGCGUAGGUGGUUUUGUAAGUUGGAGGUGAAAUCCACGGGCUCAAACUGGGAACUGCCUCCAGAACUGCAUGACUAUAAUACGGUAGAGGGUAGUGGAAUUUCCUGUGUAGCGGUGAAAUGCGUAGAUAUAGGAAGGAACACCAGUGGCGAAGGCGACUACCUGGACUGAUACUGACACUGAGGUGCGAAAGCGUGGGGAGCAAACAGGAUUAGAAACCCUGGUAGUCC
rnacentral:rRNA from 1 species